CUUUGUAUGAAUGCUGUUCACUUCCUGUACCUUCAUCACAUCAGGAAGCAACAAUGUCUCGUUUUUAAUGUUGUUAAGAUUGGUGAGUUCAGGUGUCAAGGACCUAGGAGUCACCAAUACUCCACAUCUCCAUUGACAAUUUUCUCCAGAAUUCAGAGUCAGUGUUCAGUCCUGGAGCAGACACAGCCUUGUUUGCGGAGAGCCAACAUUCUAAUUGAUGGUGCAUGGUGGGAAACAGUGAAUGGAGGGAAAGAGUGCCAAUGUCAGAGAGCCACAGUGCAGUGAAGAAGAGAAGGCAAGAGGAUGUGAUGCAAAAUCACAGGACUUGGCUUCCAGACCAUUCUGCUUCCAUGAGAACAUUUUAGUUGAGAACCGGAUGGCAUGAAAGUAAGCCAGAAGACACCACGCAGGGACAGACUGGUCCCCAGGUGCGAAUGAGAUUGGAGCAUUUGGGACUGCAAAGAAUGUGGAGCGCGGUGAAUGAGAUGGCCCUUUGUAUCAGAUUCAUGCAUGAGUGGCUGGGGUCAUGUGUGUGCUUCAGUAGAGGGUACAAAGGGCACACUAAGAAAUCUGGGUUUCUUUCUGAGGGCCUGAGAAGCCACCAGAAAACACUGAGCAGAGAGUGGUGGAUUUAUUUAUGUGUUUAUGAAACCAUGUUGGGUGCUGGGUGGUGAAUGCUUAUAGGGGCAGAGGGCAAGGGCGGAAUUGCGGAGACCACAGCUAAGAGCCGAUUGCAGAGCCAGGCUCAUUGUGAUUCAACCUGGGAGGCAUUGGGGAUGAAGGAGAUGAGGCCGGUGAAGGAUGUAUUUCUACAUAUAAUACAGAUUAGGUAGAUGGGUUUAUAUGUAAUGUAGAUUAGACUCAGAAAUCAAACUGGAGCCAAUGGAGGACACCUGACGGAAGGUGUACCUCAAUUUCUUCCAUUGCAUGGAAAAGCAAUACAGUGGAAAGAUGAUGGGAUCUGGUGCCUCUCAGACAGGAUUCCACUUGCAAGCCAUGUGACAUGGGGCGGCCCACCUGAUCCUGGACCUCCAAAAAUCCCUCUGCGACAUGGAGAGAAUCAGAUUUCCCCACAGAGACUCCAUGAAGGGCCCCAGAGCGCACUCUCUGGUUAGCCACUGAUGCAUUCACGAGGAAGAAGAAGAGUUAAAUGCUCCUUUCAAGGAAGUGGUGGUGGCCAAGUGCUGUGGGCACUGUGAGAUCAGAGCUGACAGCUCAGACUGUGAAUCGCAGUCCUCACCAGGGCCAUUGCGUGUUGCAGGGAGCUCUUCCCAAGUGUCCACUU
rnacentral:lncRNA from 1 species